rnacentral:tRNA from 1 species
AAUAAGAUGCCUGAUUAAAAGGUUUAUUUUGAUAGAAUAAAUUAUGUAUGUUAUUAUACUCUUAUUG